rfam:Physcomitrella patens subsp. patens PHYPAscaffold_100 genomic scaffold, whole genome shotgun sequence.
AGCCGGGUGCUCAGCUCAGAGCGAACUAUUCUUUCGCCUUUUACUAAAGAAUACCGUGCGCUGGGUACACAUACCGGUAUAAUCUAUUUUUUGGACUGCCCCCUUCGCGGGGGCCC